ACGGGAGGCAGCAGUGGGGAAUUUUGCGCAAUGGGCGAAAGCCUGACGCAGCAACGCCGCGUGAGUGAUGAAGGUCUUCGGAUCGUAAAGCUCUUUCGACAGGAAGGAAAGUCAAGUGGCCAAUGACCACGUGAUUGACAGUACCUGGAGAAGAAGCACCGGCUAACUCUGUGCCAGCAGCCGCGGUAAUACAGAGGGUGCGAGCGUUGUUCGGAAUUAUUGGGCGUAAAGAGCGUGUAGGCGGUAUCGCAAGUCGGGUGUGAAAGCCCCCAGCUCAACUGGGGAAGUGCGCCCGAAACUGCGGAACUGGAGUGCCGGAGAGGAUGGCGGAAUUCCGGGUGUAGAGGUGAAAUUCGUAGAUAUCCGGAGGAACACCGGUGGCGAAGGCGGCCAUCUGGACGGACACUGACGCUGAGACGCGAGAGCGUGGGUAGCAAACAGGAUUAGAUACCCUGGUA
rnacentral:rRNA from 2 species